GUACGGGGGGGGGCAAGCGUUGUUCGGAAUUACUGGGCGUAAAGGGCUCGUAGGCGGAUCGAUCAGUCAGGGGUGAAAUCCCAGGGCUCAACCCUGGAACUGCCUUUGAUACUGUCGAUCUGGAGUAUGGAAGAGGUGAGUGGAAUUCCGAGUGUAGAGGUGAAAUUCGUAGAUAUUCGGAGGAACACCAGUGGCGAAGGCGGCUCACUGGUCCAUUACUGACGCUGAGGUGCGAAAGCGUGGGGAGCAAACAGG
rnacentral:rRNA from 1 species